rnacentral:miRNA from 1 species
CGGCACUCCAGAUGUUUUGGACUACACUUCCCAUGAUGCUUUGCCAGCAUUAUGGGGGAUGUAGUCCACAACACCUGGAGUGCCG